rnacentral:lncRNA from 1 species
AAUAUUCAUUUAUAUUGAAGAUAAAAAUGAAGAAUUGAAAGAUGGUUUACUAAAAAAAUAUUACUGUGCUGAUAAAAAAAAUCCUUUGUUUUUUAUUGAUAUAAAUGUACAUAUUUGUAUAUACAAUAUAUUUUUUAUUGUUGCGAUAGAAAAUAAAAUAAUAAAUAACAAAAUAGACAAUUUAGUAGUUAAUGAAAAUGAUAUAUAUUUUUACAACGUUGUAAAUUCCAAAUGUCUAAACACUCUUUCUUAUUUUUUAAGUGAAUUUUUUAAUGACCAUGAGUUAGAAGACUUUGAAAAUUGUUGUGAAAUAAUACAAUUCACUUAUUUAUUCUUUUUUAUUUUGCUAACGGAUUAUUACACACUUGAUCCAUAUGUUAAGCAAUAUUGUAUUGAAAAUUUUAAACAUUUGUUGAGGUACAAAAAUUAUGUUUAUACAAAAUAUAUAAAAUACCAAAACCAGAAAAUUGCUAAAAAUGCUAUUCUAAUGAACGCUUAUAGUGAAGACAUAUGUGAUAGUGUUAAAAUUAAUGAUAAUCGUAGUACUAGACGCAAUUGGUACAGAACUAAAUACUACGUCUUUGAAACCAAAAUAAUAAAGAGCUUUUCAAAUAAAAAUAAAAUCGAAUUUGAAAACAUGACAAUGUGCAUAAAUUUGGAUAAACAAGUGUCUGUCCGUUAUUUUUUAUCUUGUUUAACAAAAACCAAAUCAUAUGAAUAUAUUAAUAAUAAACUUUUUUUAGAAAUUUUUAGUGUAUAUGCUUAUAUAAAUCCUGAAAACUCUACAUCAUUAUAUGAUUGUUAUACUACUGCAUCGUUGUUACCUCAUUUUGUGUUUCUCUCUCCAUUUUAUGAUAAUACUAUAGAUAAUACAGAUAUAAAACAUGCAUUUGUUAAUAAUAUUAGUACACAAUCUGUUUUUAUGAAUAGUAAAACCGAAAUGUUGUCUACAGAAACAGAUAUAUCAAAUCGUAAUUUUCAUUUUAUAUAUGAAAUUGAAAUGCCUAAUUAUAUUUACGAUGAUGAUUAUAUAGAAAUAUAUGUUAUCGAAGCUAGUAGGAAAAAAGAAAAGUGCAACAAUUUUUAUAUGUCUUUUGAACUGUCACAAAUAAAUAGAAUGAAUCAAAAAAAUGAGCUAAACGAUAUGUAUGAUGAGGAUGAUGGGGAUAAAGGGGAUAAAGGGGAUAAAGGGGAUGAUGAUAUAAACAAGACAAAAAUAAUAAUUAAUUAUGAUAAAAAAGUAAAUACUAAUAGGAUGACACAUAUCAUGAACAAAGAAAAUGUUACUGAUUUAAAUAACGAAAUCAAAUUAUUUAAAAUGACAAGUGAAAAAUAUUCAUUAAACAAUAAAACUUAUUUAAAAAUUUAUAGUAAUAAGAUAGGUAAUUUUUACAUUCAUUUAAAUACUAUAAACAAUAUACCUUACAUAAACUGGGAUCUUAAAUAUAAUAAAAAUGAUGUCAUUAUAAAAAUACAAAGUAG